rnacentral:piRNA from 1 species
GCUGGCUGCACAGACACUGAGCA